GGAAAGGUGUCCGAGCGGUUUAUGGAGCCGGUCUUGAAAACCGGUGAUACUGAAUAAGUACCGUGGGUUCGAAUCCCACCCUUUCCG
rnacentral:tRNA from 1 species